rnacentral:rRNA from 1 species
UACGGAGGGGGCUAGCGUUGUUCGGAAUUACUGGGCGUAAAGCGCACGUAGGCGGACUGUUAAGUCGGGGGUGAAAUCCUGGGGCUCAACCUCAGAAUUGCCUCCGAUACUGGCAGUCUCGAGUGCGGGAGAGGUGAGUGGAAUUCCCAGUGUAGAGGUGAAAUUCGUAGAUAUUGGGAAGAACACCAGUGGCGAAGGCGGCUCACUGGCCCGUAGCUGACGCUGAGGUGCGAAAGCGUGGGGAGCAAACAGG